UGCCCACUGGACGGUGUGGGGAAGCUGCGGAUGCUUCUCUCCUUGCCUGGAGAAUGGGCAGUGGCAGAUGGCACUGGUCCCAGCACCCUCCGCGCUGGAAGGGACCGGUCUGCUCUCCUCACCUCCCUGUGCUGGUUACCCCCUGACGGAUGUUUACCGAGAGCUUUUGCCGGACCUUGAGCUGGCUUCAUUCCGUGCUCAGUGUUGAUCCCAGAACUCUCACUGCCCUUGGCUCUAAGUGACGCUGCUCCCAGAGACGGCUGCGUUUUUAGGGAGAGCUGAGUAAUGGUGUGAUUUCAGACGCAGCAGUUCACCUGGAAGGGACACAUUCUGGAGGCCAUGCUCCCACCGGAGCCCGUCAGAUCGUCUCUCUGACCCAUGAGAAAAACCAGGCUGGGCUUCAGAAGACUGGACUCUAGUUGGUGAGGUUAGGAGCCUUUGAGUUUCUGAGCUGGGCGCAGUAUCCGGCCUCACCUCAACAACCUCUUGUUCACUCAGUCACUCGCUCGCUUGCUCAUUCACUCCCUCACUCUUGUGCCCAAUCACAGAUACUGACAAGGGCCUACUCUGUGCUGGCACCAGGCUGCGCAUGGGGGACACUGUGGUGCCAGAAAUCUAGCCCGACAGGCAGGACGGAGGUGCCAGAGAGUGAGUGAACCCUGAGACCAGACUGGGGGAUAAGCUGCACCUGCUUCGGAGCUGAACGGGAGCCCCGCUUCUGAAAUCUCGAGCGUGGAGCUGUGUGUAUGGAGAGGGCAAAGGGCAGAGUGUGCCCAUAGCAGUGAUGGAGGCCCAGGCCCAGGCCCUGCACUUCCAAAGGCUUUCUCCACAUCAGGUCUGAGUGUCCUGUCUGCAGCUGGGCCUGGCUUGACCAGCAAUGCAGAGAAGAAGGCAGAGCAGGGUCCUGCCAACCCCGCUGGGAUCUGCUGGGCCUUGGGGGAGGUGUGGCUUGGGGAGUGCUACAGUGUCCUGAGCGCGGGGUCUGAGUUGGGCCAGGCCAUGGCUGGGUCUUCGAAGCCUGUCAAGGUCAGCUCUGUGGUGCCCAAUGUCUGAAUGUGAGCCCCACAUUGCUCACUGCAGCCCAGCUGCCUCCUGUAAACUUCAAGUCCAGCACCUACCCCUCCCUGCCCCGCCCCGCCCCCCACUCCACUGAGAGCUGGUGCUGUCUGGCUGGAAACGGAACUCCAGCCCCUAUCUGACUUUCCUGGGAGGCCUUGGAGAACUGAUGCCUCCCACCACUGACGUCAGCCCUGGAGGCAGAGAGAGUCCAUUCCGAGAGGUGCCCCAUGCCCUCCCAGCCCAUUCCCUGUAACAGAAAUGGGGACCUAACUGGGUAUGGGGCACCCCUCAGGUUGGAAGCAAAUGGCCCCGAAAGCCACCACACACUAGGCCUCUCCCUGCAGUCAGGACAGGAUCCUGCCCCAGUGUCAGCUCAGCCUGCAGCGCCAGGAGGACCCAGGGCUGUUCCGAGGAGAAGGGAAUCCAUCCGGGGAAGCUCCCAAACUGCCUUUCGAAGGCCUCCCUGAGUGCUUCCUUCUCCCUCUUUCCAAAAUGGAAGCAUUGGUGCAUGAUGACCAACCCUCCUGGUGACAGUUCAGAGAAAAAUAAGAUCCCAAGCCCCAAAGGAUGGCAACUCCCCAGCAGGGCUCUGUCACCCGUGCCGGGCAGUGCCAGGCAUGCUGCACCUGCUUUAGAGAAGGGCCGGCUGCCUGUUCACCCCCAGAACCCAGGAGUCCGGUUGCCUCGGGGAUGGAUUCCCCAGCCCUCUCCCGUCUCUGAGGCUCCAGGUGGGUGAGCACACUCCCAGAAAGCCCCAUCAUUCCCAUUAGCCACCCCUACCCCGGGAGCGAAGGAGAGAGACCAAGAUUGGGGCAGGGCCCCAGCUCCUCUUUCCAGCCGCAGACACACCUGCGAAGUGUGAGGCAGCCAGGACCUCGUGCCUGCUGCGGAGAGACGCCACUCCUGCCUGGGAGCACCUAGCAGUGAGUCCAGUCCUUGGAAGGGCGACGGGGCCACCCCCGGACCUCAGGGUACCCAGAGCAGCCCUCCAGCGAGGCCGGCGUCAGAGCCUGGGCUCAGUACAGUUUCCUCCCUAGCUCCUACUGGGAGCCCUGACCCAGGUCUUGGUCUGCAGAGUGUGGCCCUGACACUGGUGCUCAGAGGGCUGGGUACCUGGCCCGAGUUGCCCAGCCGGCCCGGGCAGACCAGGUGGGCCAUUUCCCCCCAUGCAUUACCCUUCCCCCACCCGUCAAACACGGAACAGGGAUGCGUCACAGGACAGAAGUCCACCAAGAGACAAGCGCCUUGCGAAGCAGAGCGUGCCAGACAGAGCAAGGAAAGUCCCAUGAUGCGCGUGGUGCUCUAGUUUUCUCAGUGCUCCCUGGAAAACCGCACUGCGGCUGUCUCUGACUUGGGAUCUAAUCUUAGUGCCUCCUACGCUGUAAGCCCGAAAUUACUGAGCAGCACAGCGGAGGCGCCACUGGCUGCAGGAGGUCUGGCUCACUCUCAGACUCUGGGCGGCGUCUGGUGAGCCGAAUCCACUAAACAGCUCCAGCCAUGUGCCUGAGUGCUGGGAGGGGUGUGGCAGCCGUCCUCCUUCCCAUGGCAGGGUCCCCUCUGUGUCUCUACUUCCCCCAGUUCUUCGCUGGAGGGACUUGUCCUCAGCUAGGCUGCCACCUCCUCCAGGCAGGCUUCCCUGACCACCCUGCCUUGGGUUGGACUUCCUGGGCCGUGGGGCUUUUUGGUUGUCACUGUCUGGCUUCUGCCUCCCCCACCAGACAGUGGCUCCCUUAGAGCAGCACAGAGAGGCCACCUUAUCCUGCACAGCUCAAUGCAUCAGCCUGGACCGAACCCUGACUCCCUGCGAGCUUCUGACAGAAGGAAACCCAUUCCCAGAGAAAAAGCAGACGCAGGAGCAGAAGGCCGACAACGACGGGAGCUUGGGAGUAUCGCUGUGACUGAAGAGGACGUCCAGGGAGCUGUAGUCAGAUGGGGAUCGCAGCAGCAAGGGCAGGUAUGACACCUCCGCCCAUAAAAACCAGGUUCUCAAAGUAGGGAAAAGAACGCAAGCCCAGGUGUCCCAGCAGGCGACAUUGACAAGAAAUAAUCAGAAACGUGCAAUCAAGGGAUCAAGAAAAGUGUGGAAAUGCCACACAGAGGCCAGCAAGGGGGAGCUGGGAUGGCCACAUAAGUGUCGGAGAGGCUGUGACCUGGACAAGCCUCAAAGAAGACAAGAAGCCCCGUAGAAAGGAGAGAAGAUCUGAGCGAGGUAGACACCAAAAUGCAGACUUCCCGAUGCUCAACUCCUAAGCAAACAGAGUGACUCACCCCAUGCUCAAUGCCUAAGGAAACAGAGUGACCCACCCCAUGCUCGACACCUAAGAAAACAGAGUGACUCACCCCAUGCUCAACUCCUAAGGAAACAGAGUGACUCACCCCAUGCUCAACGCCUAAGGAAAUGCAGUGACCCACCCCAUGAUCAACACCUCAAAAAAUACAGUGACACACCCCAUGCUCACCACCUAAGGAAAUGCAGUGACUCACCCCAUGCUCACCACCUAAGGAA